rfam:Salmo salar isolate Sally breed double haploid chromosome ssa13, whole genome shotgun sequence.
CUCCCUGUGGCUCAGUUGGUAGAGCAUGGUGUUUGCAACGCCAGUAUGGUGUGUGCGCAACGCCAGGGUUGUGGGUUCGAUUCCCAUGGGGGGC